AUAAUGAAGUAAAAUUUACAAUUAGUUUCGACCUAAUAUUAGAGGCAUGCCUCCUUAUC
rnacentral:tRNA from 1 species